GCCAGGGGAAAGUUAAACGAAAACAAAGAGGACGAGAUUAGGUACAGCGAGCAGCUGGGAUUUUUUUGUGCACGGACAGUGUCAGUUUCGUUUUGUUUCGUGGACUCACUCUGGGAGGACCGCGGGACUUGAAAUUGAAACGAGGACUCAUAUUGGAUCAGUACAGUUGAGGGUGUGGAUUGCGAGCUCCUGGCAGCGGACAGUUCCAGUCUGUGAGCGGCAGCACCUGCUCUGAAUUCUGGAUACUCGCUGGGUCUGCGCAGCAGAGCGGGGACCGGACGGACAGCGUGUGGGAGCAGUGAACUCCAACCUGUGAGACGGCAGCAUAUCACCGCGGGGCUCGGGGCAGAGUAAGGAGAGAGACGUGGGUCAAGCCAGUGCCGGCAGGUUUUCCCUGGGAUCUCUCCUGAGGCCUUCAGCUGAAGCUCAGUGCCCUAUUGGGAGGGUUGCCCAAACAGGCGUCGGGACAGGGGCCCAAGAGGAGGUCUGGACCAGGGAGUGGACGACGUAUGGUCAUCCGGUCACGCCUUGGACUAUCAGUUUGGGAGUGAGGGGUUGGGGUGUAUAAUUGCCUUUUUGUGUAUUUGGUUGCAUUAUUCAGGCUUCUCCUUGUGAGAGCUGGAGAAAACAGAUUGUUAUAUUGAGAAAUGAUCUAGCCUAAAUAGAGAAUAAAGCAACUUUUAAAAAUCUAAAAUACUUACCUGUGCUGUGUGUGUGAA